UUUCGCUGGAGAAGAGUGCGAGUCGGGCGACUAGUGGGAGCGCUCAACUACUAAAGUUGGACGCCGCAUUUGCCAAUUGAAACAUUCAAAUGUGAAUACCGUACGGGUGAAGACGUCUUCUGUUCGGAUUGGCUCCUCAGUUUACAAGCAAAACCCCAUGGAGACAUAAAAACGAAGUAAC